GACGAACGCUGGCGGCGUGCUUAACACAUGCAAGUCGAACGGUGAUGCUCCAGCUUGCUGGAGUGGAUCAGUGGCGAACGGGUGAGUAACACGUGAGCAACCUGCCCCAGACUCUGGAAUAAGCGCUGGAAACGGCGUCUAAUACUGGAUACGAAACUGGCCCGCAUGGGCAUGGUUUGGAAAGUUUUUCGGUUUGGGAUGGGCUCGCGGCCUAUCAGCUUGUUGGUGAGGUAAUGGCUCACCAAGGCGACGACGGGUAGCCGGCCUGAGAGGGCGACCGGCCACACUGGGACUGAGACACGGCCCAGACUCCUACGGGAGGCAGCAGUGGGGAAUAUUGCACAAUGGGCGAAAGCCUGAUGCAGCGACGCUGCGUGAGGGAUGACGGCCUUCGGGUUGUAAACCUCUUUCAGCAGGGAAGAAGCGAAAGUGACGGUACCUGCAGAAGAAGCACCGGCUAACUACGUG
rnacentral:rRNA from 1 species